rnacentral:rRNA from 1 species
GAUGAACGCUGGCGGCGUGCCUAAUACAUGCAAGUCGAGCGAACGGACGAGAAGCUUGCUUCUCUGAUGUUAGCGGCGGACGGGUGAGUAAAACGUGGAUAACCUACCUAUAAGACUGGGAUAACUUCGGGAAACCGGAGCUAAUACCGGAUAAUAUUUUGAACCGCAUGGUUCAAAAGUGAAAGACGGUCUUGCUGUCACUUAUAGAUGGAUCCGCGCUGCAUUAGCUAGUUGGUAAGGUAACGGCUUCCCAAGGCAACGAUGCAUAGCCGACCUGAGAGGGUGAACGGCCACACGGGCACUGAGACACGGUCCAGACUCCUACGCAGGGCAGCAGUAGGGAAUCAUCCGCGAUGGACGAAAGCCUGACAGAGCACCGUCGCGUGAAUGAUGAAGGUCUUAGGAUCGUAAAACUAUGUUAUUAGGGAAAAACAUAUGUGUAAGUAACUGUGCACAUCUUGACAGUACCUAAUCAGAAAGCCACGGCUAACUACGUG